ACACAGAUUAUUUUUCUGCAGAAACAGAUUUACUGUGAUCAACUGAAACAAGUGGAAUCCAACCAGACUGAACACUGAGUCAUCACUUCAACACUGACUCCAGGUACGGACGAGCCUGAAGGACACAGCUGUGCUGACCGUGUUCUGUCUCUUAUGGCAAAGAAGAAAAAUAAAACACUGGGUUUUUAAUCUAAAGUGUAUCAAAUCAGAAAGCAAAAGAUAAACAUGGUUCUAAGUAGUGUUCAUUUGAAUAUAUAAUAUAUAAUGAAUAUAGAAAUUAACUCUAUUAUCCAUGACACUUAGCAAUGACUCUAAACAGUUGCAGGCCGUCUUUAUUUAGGGAGGAAAACACAAAGUGUUGUGCAGAUGAAGCUGGUGCAUGUCGCCUCAUGUUGAUAAUAAUAAAUUAAUAAAUUA